ACUCGCUUUCCACAAACUUUUAAUAAUCCAGUAGUGGGGGCGUAACUUUUCAGGGUUGCUUUAGCCGGCUUCAGCUUUUGAAACAGAAACAGUAUGUUCCGUGCUUGCUCUGCAAAAGCUCGGUGUACGGAUAGAAUACGCCGCGUUUGCCGCUUUUCUGAUCGUAAAUGCGUGCGCCAUGACCGCUCAAUUAAAAAAUUCGAGUGAUUACUGGAUUUUCAAAUUGUGUUUUAGUGCGUCCUGUUAAGAAUAUGGGGAAAAAAAGGCGCGCAUCUAAACGACGUGCUGUUGCCAUCGAUAAAGAUCACUCCCAACUGACAAAUAUGGAACAAGAUGAUGUUUUUGAGGAAGAUUUGGAAAACAAAAUUGAAAGUGGACAUAGAAGACCGAAGCCCGGUCAAUGUCAAAAGGGUAUUUGCGGUAAAGAAGCGGCUUGUUUGUCUCAUUCCAACAACACAUAUUCUUGCAUUUGUCCGCACGACAAGUCACCACCUACGAAAGACUGGAGAUGCACUCGUAUUACAGUUCCACCCACACCCCACCCAAUCAAGAAUAUACGAUUAUCAUCAGAUGCAAAUUCUACAAUAUCUAAAAGUAAAAACGCUACUAGUCGCGUUAAUAAUCGCAUCACCAGCACCUCGGCGCACUCAAAAGAACCGUUAGCCAACGCACCUGGAACGUUUCCGAGUACAAUAGUAAUUUCAGUUUUGGUCGGAGUCAUUGUGAUAGUUAUGAUCGCCAUUAUUUUUACUGUUAUCUCAUGGAGGCGAAGGAAACAAGGAUGCUUAUGCUAUAACAAAAAUCCAUGCACGAAAUCACUGCGGGUGUUAAUAAUGGCGCUGUUUGUUACUGAAUACUGUAACAUAUCGGCGCCGUUAUGAGGCAUGCCAUCGGAAAAGAUUCCCCGCCCAGGUGAUUGUUAACGUCAUAAUAUUAUUAUGGAACAGCAGAAUUCUAUUCUAAUCAACAACCGAUCAGCAAUAAAAACUGAACCGUGAUCUUCGCCAAGACAAUUUCAGUUACACUAACGGAACGCGGUAUUAAAACGUUGUUUGUAAUUUUAUUGUCACUUGUGUUGCGAAAUAAAUUGCACCACAUAUUGCUGCAAGAGAGCCAGUGUCAUCUCCAAUCGUGCUAAAACGAAGCUUUCUUGUACCAGAAAGAUAUGCUCCCAAUCCACAGUAUUCUGCUUGUUCCAGUAGUUCAGUGCCAAUAAUACAAAGGGAAUCGCUCAAAUUUUUAAACGAAUUAGGCGAAGGAUGCUUUGGAAAAGUAUUUAAAGGUAAGAUACUUCAUUUUUUUGCAUAGUUAUCAAAUUACCGGACUUUUUUUAAUGAAAAAUCGUAUGGAAAACCGAUUUCACGAUUUAUACUAUGCGUUUCCAUGACGUUUAGUCCUAUCUGAACAGUCGCAUCAAUUGUUGAGUGACAGUAAAUCGCGUAUGUCAAUGAUAUUGAAUUAUGACGGGUUAUUAAGGA